AUUGAACGCUGGCGGCAUGCUUUACACAUGCAAGUCGAACGGCAGCACGGGGGCAACCCUGGUGGCGCGUGGCGAACGGGUGAGUAAUACAUCGGAACGUGCCCGGUCGUGGGGGAUAACGUAGCGAAAGUUACGCUAAUACCGCAUACGAUCUGAGGAUGAAAGCGGGGGACCUUCGGGCCUCGCGCGAUCGGAGCGGCCGAUGUCAGAUUUGGUAGUUGGUUGGGUAAAGGCCUACCAAGCCGACGAUCUGCGGCUGGUCUGAGAGGACGACCGGCCACACUGGAACUGAGACACGGCCCAGACUCCUACGGGAGGCAGCAGUGGGGAAUUUUGGACAAUGGGCGCAAGCCUGAUCCAGCCAUUCCGCGUGCAGGACGAAGGCCUUCGGGUUGUAAACUGCUUUUGUAUGGAACGAAAAGGCUCUGGCUAAUACCUGGGGCUCAUGACGGUACCGUAAGAAUAAGCACCGGCUAACUACGUG
rnacentral:rRNA from 1 species